CGUUAUAUUCAUGGCUCACCAAAACCCUCAGCAUCAUCUUCGUGGUGAUGAUGAUGAUUCCCUGGAUCCUCGAGUUGCGAAGGAUCUUGACGAAAUGCUUCCUGCUUCUGAUUCUCAAGUUGUUACCAACGAGCCUGCAAAAGCAUCACUUGGUAUGGUGUCUUUUCACACUUCAAUUUUUUCUUCUUAUCUCCUCAUACCUGUUGCUAUAUAUGGUUCUUCGCAUGUAUAAACAAAAUCUAAUCCUGGGUUGAUUUAAACAUGACCAACUUGCCCGAAUUUGUAUAUAUUAUGCAUGAUUAUUCAAGCAUAAUAUGCUCAAACCGGUGAUAUUGGUGCCACAGAAACUCACCUCAGAGAGGCAUGAGGAUCGAUGCGCAUCUAUUUCUCAUAUCAGUUCUGAGAGCAAAGGCAUAAAGUAAAGCCUUUGGUCUUUAUGAGGGGAGAGGUUGCUAGGAUUCUUUGAUGCGUAUUUAUUUCAAAGUAAUGAGAGAGAAAACGAGAGGUAUGCCAUGCCACAGUCAGGGUUCCUCUCUAUUUUCUCCUCUCUCCCUCAAUUUUUACCUCAAAGGAGCUAGAUAACAUCAGCGCAAGACACAGCUGUUCUCAGAUAAAGCAAGGACUUUGACUGAAAGGCCUGCAAAAGGAGAAAGAGUUAGAUAAAAGCCUCCGAUGGAGAUGACGACUCUCAAGUCUCAUCGGAACUGAUCCUUUAUUUUAUCAGAUCCACGUUGAAGGAUGAAGAGCAAGCUCGAGAUCUUGAUGAUGCCGUAAUCAAUUCUACUCACUCCCUUAGCUCGUACUCAACAAGAUCUAUCACAGACAGUUUUAGCGAUGUUUUUACUACUCCAAAAGCUGUUUUUUCUCCCGAAAUCUCAGUCCAGCAAAUCAAUCGUUCGAGGUCUAAUGAUACUUCCAUUAAUAUCCCUGUGACUCCUACUCCUGCAUCAUCACCGCACGAACACAACAAGCUGGGCUUCAUAGUUUUUCCUGUUGAACUUCUAAAUGCUAUAAUCAGUCUUGCUGUUUCAUCAAAGGCAAAAGAUAACCAGGUUCUGAUUUAUGUUGCGGUGGCUUGUUCUACACUGGCUUUCUCGAUUUCUUCAACUGCUCUUGUGGUGCUUAAGAAAAGGCCUCCGAUGGCGAAGAAGAUGCAAAAAGCUGCGUUUCUGAUCGGCACGUUUGGAUUCUUGGGAAUGAUGGGCAUGCUUUUGCCUUCAAGCAUCAGUUGGUGGUUCACUAUCUCAGCCUUCCUUGUUUGUGUGCUGAUGUUUGCCGUUGCAAAUUUGAUUGGGCGAGAGGAACCUGGUUGAGCUAUUGUCGUUGCCCUUGUCCAUAAGUCUUUCUUGGUUCUUGUCUUAGUAUGGUUCUCAUGAAGACCACUUGAUUUUCCUGUAACAUAAAUAAUGCAAAUUGAUGUGCAUAUGGACAAAGUGAUAUCUCCGUUGUUCUCUUAA